GACGAACGCUGGCGGCGUGCCUAACACAUGCAAGUCGAGCGAUGAAAUUAGAAACGGAGUCUUCGGACGAAGAGGAAAAUGGAUUAGCGGCGGACGGGUGAGUAACACGUGAGCAACCUGCCUAUCACAUCGGGAUAGCCUCGGGAAACUGGGAUUAAUACCGAAUGAAACAUAAUCACUGCCUAGUGGAAAUGUCAAAGAUUUAUCGGUGAUAGAUAGGCUCGCGUCUGAUUAGCUAGUUGGUGAGGUAACGGCUCACCAAGGCGACGAUCAGUAGCCGGCCUGAGAGGGUGAACGGCCACAUUGGGACUGAGACACGGCCCAAACUCCUACGGGAGGCAGCAGUGGGGAAUAUUGCACAAUGGAGGGAACUCUGAUGCAGCGACGCCGCGUGAGCGAUGAAGGCUUUCGAGUCGUAAAGCUCUGUCGAAUGGGAAGAUAAUGACGGUACCAUUUGAGAAAGCCCCGGCUAACUACGUGCCAGCCGCCGCCGUAAGAC
rnacentral:rRNA from 1 species